AUGUUUGUGAAGUGGCGCCGCCGGAUUCGAGGGUGGAGCCCGAGCCUCCACUGGAGCAUGGAUCAGACGUGCAUGAGGUGGAGCUUUGCAUGGAUCAUGACGUGGUCAUCGUGGGGGCCUGGAUCAUCAAGUCCGCAGGCGGUGUCGGGGGCGGUGCAAUGCCAGCUACUGGACAUAGUUCACCCUGGGUUGGUGCUUAUGAACAAGGUGAAUUUCGAUGCCAAGAUGGAGUACGACAUGAUCCAGAUCUACAUGAUUCUCUUGGAUGUGUUCAACAAGUUGCAGAUAGGCAAGGUACGGGUGGUGAUUCUCCUAGCUUUGGUCUCUGCCCGUGGAUUUAUCCAUGAUUGUGUCUUGCAUUUUGUCAUUUGGGAAAGCAAAUGUGAUCUUUCUGUACAGUAG
rnacentral:rRNA from 1 species